GGUCGUUAAUGCCAAGCGACUUUCAAGUGACCUGUUUAAGUACAAGGAUGUGACUUCUACUGACGAUAAAGAUGUCACUACAAACCAGCCUGUCGACGACCUGGGGAAAGUCAAUGGUAAUAGAAAGGUAAGGAUAGG
rnacentral:sRNA from 1 species